rnacentral:rRNA from 1 species
GUUGAACGGCCACAUUGGGACUGAGACACGGCCCAGACUCCUACGGGAGGCAGCAGUGGGGGAUAUUGCACAAUGGGGGAAACCCUGAUGCAGCGACGCCGCGUGAGCGAAGAAGUUUUCGGAUUGUAAACUCCUGUCGUAAGGGAAGAGAAAGGACUGUACCUUACAAGAAAGCUCCGGCUAACUACGUGCCAGCAGCCGCGGUAAUACGUAGGGAGCGAGCGUUGUCCGGAAUGACUGGGUGUAAAGGGAGCGUAGGCGGGAUGGCAAGUCAGAUGUGAAACCUGAGGGCUCAACCUUCAGACUGCAUUUGAAACUGCUGUUCUUGAGUGAAGUAGAGGUAAGCGGAAUUCCUGGUGUAGCGGUGAAAUGCGUAGAGAUCAGGAGGAACAUCGGUGGCGAAGGCGGCUUACUGGGCUUUUACUGACGCUGAGGCUCGAAAGCGUGGGGAGCAAACAGGAUUAGAUACCCUGGUAGUCCACGCUGUAAACGAUGAUUACUAGGUGUGGGGGGAUUGACCCCUUCCGUGCCGCAGUUAACACAAUAAGUAAUCCACCUGGGGAGUACGACCGCAAGGUUGAAACUCAAAGGAAUUGACGGGGGCCCGCACAAGCAGUGGAGUAUGUGGUUUAAUUCGAAGCAACGCGAAGAACCUUACCAGGUCUUGACAUCGAGUGACGUAUCCAGAGAUGGAUAUUUCCUUCGGGACACAAAGACAGGUGGUGCAUGGUUGUCGUCAGCUCGUGUCGUGAGAUGUUGGGUUAAGUCCCGCAACGAGCGCAACCCUUAUCAUUAGUUGCUACGCAAGAGCACUCUAAUGAGACUGCCGUUGACAAAACGGAGGAAGGUGGGGAUGACGUCAAGUCAUCAUGCCCCUUAUGACCUGGGCUACACACGUACUACAAUGGCGAUCGAACAGAGGGAAGCAAGACAGCGAUGUGGAGCCAAUCCCAAAAAAUCGCCCCAGUUCAGAUUGCAGGCUGCAACUCGCCUGCAUGAAGUCGGAAUCGCUAGUAAUCGCAGAUCAGCAUGCUGCGGUGAAUACGUUCCCGGGCCUUGUACACACCGCCCGUCACACCAUGGGAGUCGGUAACACCCAAAGCCGGUCGUCUAACCUUCGGGAGGACGCCGUCUAAGGUGGGAUUGAUGACUGGGGUGAAGUCGUAACAAGGUAGCCGUAUCGGAAGGUGCGGCUG